CUACGGGUGGCUGCAGUGGGGAAUAUUGGACAAUGGGGGAAACCCUGAUCCAGCAAUGCCGCGUGUGUGAAGAAGGCCUGCGGGUUGUAAAGCACUUUCGGUUGGGAGGACUGCUUCUAGCACUAAUAUUGUUGGAAGUUGACGUUACCUUCAGAAGAAGCACCGGCUAACUCCGUGCCAGCAGCCGCGGUAAUACGGAGGGUGCAUGCGUUAACCGGAAUUACUGGGCGUAAAGCGCGCGUAGGCGGCUAGAUCAGUCGGGUGUGAAAGCCCCGGGCUUAACCUGGGAACUGCAUCCGAUACUGGCUAGCUUGAGUACAGGAGAGGAGAGUGGAAUUCCACAUGUAGCGGUGAAAUGCGUAGAUAUGUGGAGGAACACCAAUGGCGAAGGCAGCUCUCUGGCCUGAUACUGACGCUGAGGUGCGAAAGCGUGGGGAGCAAACAGGAUUAGAUACCCGAGUAGUC
rnacentral:rRNA from 1 species